rnacentral:rRNA from 1 species
GUAGGUGGCAAGCGUUGUCCGGAAUUGUUGGGCGUAAAGCGCGCGCAGGCGGUUCUUUAAGUCUGAUGUGAAAGCCCACGGCUCAACCGUGGAGGGUCAUUGGAAACUGGAGAACUUGAGUACAGAAGAGGAAAGCGGAAUUCCACGUGUAGCGGUGAAAUGCGUAGAGAUGUGGAGGAACACCAGUGGCGAAGGCGGCUUUCUGGUCUGUAACUGACGCUGAGGCGCGAAAGCGUGGGGAGCAAACAGGGAUUAGAUACCCUGGUAGUCCACGCCGUAAACGAUGAGUGCUAAGUGUUAGGGGGUUUCCGCCCCCUUAGUGCUGCAGCUAACGCAUUAAGCACUCCGCCUGGGGAGUACGGCCGCAAGGCUG